rnacentral:rRNA from 1 species
ACGAACGCUGGCGGCGUGCUUAACACAUGCAAGUCGAGCGGAAAGGCCCUUCGGGGUACUCGAGCGGCGAACGGGUGAGUAACACGUGAGUAACCUGCCCCUGACUCUGGGAUAAGCCCGGGAAACUGGGUCUAAUACCGGAUAUGACAUCUCCCGGCAUCGGGUGGGUGUGGAAAGUUUUUCGGUUGGGGAUGGGCUCGCGGCCUAUCAGCUUGUUGGUGGGGUAGUGGCCUACCAAGGCGACGACGGGUAGCCG